rnacentral:rRNA from 1 species
AGAGUUUGAUCCUGGCUCAGAUUGAACGCUGGCGGCGUGCUUAACACAUGCAAGUCGAUCGGUAACAGGUGUAGCAAUACAUGCUGACGAGAGGCGGACGGGUGAGGAAUAUUUGGGAAUCUGCCCAUCAGCGGGGGACAACCCGGGGAAACCCGGGCUAAUACCGCAUACGCUCUACGGAGGAAAGCCGGGGACCGCAAGGCCUGGCACUGAUGGAUGAGCCCAAAUCGGAUUAGCUAGUUGGCGGGGUAACGGCCCACCAAGGCGACGAUCCGUAGCUGGUCUGAGAGGACGAUCAGCCACACCGGAACUGAGACACGGUCCGGACUCCUACGGGAGGCAGCAGUGGGGAAUAUUGGACAAUGGGGGAAACCCUGAUCCAGCGACGCCGCGUGGGUGAAGAAGGCCUGCGGGUUGUAAAGCCCUUUCGGUAGGGACGAAAGCUCUUGCUCUAACAAAGCAGGAGGUUGACUUAACCUACAUAAGAAGCACCGGCUAACUCUGUGCCAGCAGCCGCGGUAA